rnacentral:rRNA from 1 species
GACGAACGCUGGCGGCGUGCUUAACACAUGCAAGUCGAACGGAAAGGCCCUGCUUUUGUGGGGUGCUCGAGUGGCGAACGGGUGAGUAACACGUGAGUAACCUGCCCUUGACUUUGGGAUAACUUCAGGAAACUGGGGCUAAUACCGGAUAGGAGCUCCUGCUGCAUGGUGGGGGUUGGAAAGUUUCGGCGGUUGGGGAUGGACUCGCGGCUUAUCAGCUUGUUGGUGGGGUAGUGGCUUACCAAGGCUUUGACGGGUAGCCGGCCUGAGAGGGUGACCGGCCACAUGGGGACUGAGAUACGGCCCAGACCCCUACGGGGGGCAGCGGGGGGGAAUAUUGCAAAAGGGGCGGAAGCCGGAUGCAGAAACGCCGGGUGCGGGAUGAGGGCCUUGGGGUUGUAAACCGCUUUCGCCUGUGACGAAGCGUGGGUGACGGUAAUGGGUAAAGAAGCACCGGCUAACUACGG